rnacentral:rRNA from 1 species
GACGAACGCUGGCGGCGUGCCUAAUACAUGCAAGUAGAACGCUGAAGCUUGGUGCUUGCACCGAGCGGAUGAGUUGUGAACGGGUGAGUAACGCGUAGGUAACCUGCCUGGUAGCGGGGGAUAACUAUUGGAAACGAUAGCUAAUACCGCAUAAAAUGGAUUAUCGCAUGAUAAUCGAUUGAAAGGUGCAAAUGCAUCACUACCAGAUGGACCUGCGUUGUAUUAGCUAGUUGGUGGGGUAACGGCUCACCAAGGCGACGAUACAUAGCCGACCUGAGAGGGUGAUCGGCCACACUGGGACUGAGACACGGCCCAGACUCCUACGGGAGGCAGCAGUAGGGAAUCUUCGGCAAUGGACGGAAGUCUGACCGAGCAACGCCGCGUGAGUGAAGAAGGUUUUCGGAUCGUAAAGCUCUGUUGUAAGAGAAGAACGAGUGUGAGAGUGGAAAGUUCACACUGUGACGGUAUCUACCAG